rnacentral:misc_RNA from 1 species
AACGCACGAGACCUGCGGACCUGCGGAGGGAUCAUUAAUGAGAAGCUGCCCCUCGUGGGUAGACCUCCCACCCUCUGUGAACUUACUUUUGUUGCUUUGGCAGGCCCGUCCUCUGGACCGCCGGCUUCGGCUGGCCCGUGCCUGCCAGAGGAUUCCAAACCCUGUCUGUCAGUGUUGUCUGAGUCUAUAUGAAAUCGUUAAAACUUUCAGCAACGGAUCUCUAGAUCGGAAGAGCACACG